rnacentral:rRNA from 1 species
UUUUGGACAAUGGGCGCAAGCCUGAUCCAGCCAUUCCGCGUGAGUGAAGAAGGCCUUCGGGUUGUAAAGCUCUUUCGCAAGGGAAGAAAACUUACUUUUUAAUAAAGAGUGAGGUUGACGGUACCUUGAUAAGAAGCACCGGCUAACUACGUGCCAGCAGCCGCGGUAAUACGUAGGGUGCGAGCGUUAAUCGGAAUUACUGGGCGUAAAGCGUGCGCAGGCGGCUUUGUAAGUCAGAUGUGAAAUCCCCGAGCUCAACCUGGGAACUGCGUUUUGAACUGGGUAACUAGAGUGUGUCAGAGGGGGGUAGAAUUCCACGUGUAGCAGUGAAAUGCGUAGAGAUGUGGAGGAAUACCGAUGGCGAAGGCGGCCCCCUGGGAGUGGCAACUGACGUUCAUGCCGAGG